rnacentral:rRNA from 1 species
GGAAUCUUCCACAAUGGACGCAAGUCUGAUGGAGCAACGCCGCGUGAGUGAAGAAGGGUUUCGGCUCGUAAAGCUCUGUUGUUAAAGAAGAACGUGGGUAAGAGUAACUGUUUACCCAGUGACGGUAUUUAACCAGAAAGCCACGGCUAACUACGUGCCAA